rnacentral:rRNA from 1 species
UAUACUAAAGUUGUUGCAGUUAAAAAGCUCGUAGUUGAAUUUCUGGUCUCGGACAUCGGUCUGCCUCGAACGAGGUACGUACCAGUUGUCUGAAUCCAUCCUCGGGGAAAACAUGUCUGGCAUUCAGUUGUUGGGCAUGGGAUCCUCGUCAUUUACUGUGAGCAAAAUAGAGUGUUCAAAGCAGGCUUAUGCCGUUGAAUACAUUAGCAUGGAAUAAUAAGAUAGGACCUUGGUCUAUUUUGUUGGUUUGUACUCCAAGGUAAUGAUUAAUAGGGAUAGUUGGGGGUAUUCGUAUUCAAUUGUCAGAGGUGAAAUUCUUGGAUUUAUGGAAGACGAACUACUGCGAAAGCAUUUACCAAGGAUGUUUUCAUUAAUCAAGAACGAAAGUUAGGGGAUCGAAGAUGAUUAGAUACCAUCGUAGUCUUAACCAUAAACUAUGCCGACUAGGGAUUGGUGGACGUUUGUAACGACUCCAUCAGCACCUUAUGAGAAAUCAAAGUCUUUGGGUUCCGGGGGGAGUAUGGUCGCAAGGCUGAA